rnacentral:rRNA from 1 species
CCUACGGGAGGCAGCAGUAAGGAAUAUUGGACAAUGCUCGCAAGAGUGAUCCAGCCAUGCCGCGUGCAGGAAGAAUGCCCUAUGGGUAGUAAACUGCUUUUGAACUAGAGAAAAUCCCAGUACGUGUACUGGGCUGAUAGUAUAGUUAGAAUAAGCAUCGGCUAACUUCGUGCCAGCAGCCGCGGUAAGACGAAGGAUGCAAGCGUUAUCCGGAUUCAUUGGGUUUAAGGGGAGCGUAGGUGGACUGAUAAGUCAGUGGUGAAAUCUCCGAGCUUAACUCGGAAAUUGCCAUUGAUACUGUUGGUCUUGAGUACAGUUGCUGUGGGCGGAAUAUGACAUGUAGUGGUGAAAUACAUAGAGAUGUCAUAGAACACCGAUUGCGAAGGCAGCUCACAAAGCUGUAACUGACACUGAGGCUCGAAAGUGCGGGGAUCAAACAGGAUUAGAUACCCUGGUAGUCCGCACCGUAAACGAUGAUUACUCGCUGCUAGGGGGCAACCUUUAGUGGCUUAGCGAAAGCGAUAAGUAAUCCACCUGGGGAGUACGCCGGCAAACGGUGAAACGUCAAAGAGUAGUUACGGCGNGNGAGNGCGACGACGACGACGAGGAGGAGGAG